ensembl:misc_RNA Metazoa_SRP Metazoan signal recognition particle RNA
GCUGGGCGUGGUUGCGCAUGCCUGUGGUCCUAGCUACUUGGGAGGCCGGGGCAGGAGAAUAGCUUGAACCCAGGAGGUGGAGUUUGCAGUGAGCCAUGAUCAUGUCACUGUCCUCCAGCCUGGGUGACAGAGCAAGAUCCUGUCUCAA